UACGUAGGGUGCAAGCGUUGUCCGGAAUUAUUGGGCGUAAAGAGCUCGUAGGCGGUUUGUCGCGUCUGCUGUGAAAACUCGGGGCUUAACCCCGGGCCUGCAGUGGGUACGGGCAGACUAGAGUGCGGUAGGGGAGACUGGAAUUCCCGGUGUAGCGGGGAAAUGCGCAGAUAUCGGGAGGAACACCGGUGGCGAAGGCGGUUCUCUGGGCCUUACCUGACGCUGAGGAGCGAAAGCGUGGGGAGCGAACAGG
rnacentral:rRNA from 1 species